rnacentral:rRNA from 1 species
UAGGGAAUCUUCCGCAAUGGACGCAAGUCUGACGGAGCAACGCCGCGUGAGUGAAGAAGGAUUUCGGUUCGUAAAACUCUGUUGUUAGAGAAGAACAGCGCAUAGAGUAACUGUUAUGCGUGUGACGGUAUCUAACCAGAAAGCCACGGCUAACUACGUGCCAGCAGCCGCGGUAAUACGUAGGUGGCAAGCGUUGUCCGGAUUUAUUGGGCGUAAAGCGAGCGCAGGCGGUCAAUUAAGUCUGAUGUGAAAGCCCCCGGCUCAACCGGGGAGGGUCAUUGGAACCUGGUUGACUUGAGUGCAGAAGAGGAGAGUGGAAUUCCAUGUGUAGCGGUGAAAUGCGUAGUUAUAGGGAGGAACACCAGUGGCGAAGGCGACUCUCUGGUCUGUAACUGCCGCUGAGGCUCGAAAGCGUGGGUAGCAAACAGG